rnacentral:tRNA from 1 species
GGAGUUGUAGCUUAGUGGUAGAUCAUUUGCCUUGCAUGCAUGAGGCACUGGGUUCGAAUCUCAGCAUCACAU